rnacentral:rRNA from 1 species
GAUGAACGCUGGCGGCGUGCCUAAUACAUGCAAGUCGAGCGAACAGACGAGGAGCUUGCUCCUCUGACGUUAGCGGCGGACGGGUGAGUAACACGUGGAUAACCUACCUAUAAGACUGGGAUAACUUCGGGAAACCGGAGCUAAUACCGGAUAACAUGUUGAACCGCAUGGUUCAACAGUGAAAGACGGUCUUGCUGUCACUUAUAGAUGGAUCCGCGCCGCAUUAGCUAUUUGGUAAGGUAACGGCUUACCAAGGCAACGAUGCGUAGCCGACCUGAGAGGGUGAUCGGCCACACUGGAACUGAGACACGGUCCAGACUCCUACGGGAGGCAGCAGUAGGGAAUCUUCCGCAAUGGGCGAAAGCCUGACGGAGCAACGCCGCGUGAGUGAAGAAGGUCUUCGGAUCGUAAAACUCUGUUAUUAGGGAAGAACAAAUGUGUAAGUAACUAUGCACGUCUUGACGGUACCUAAUCAGAAAGCCACGGCUAACUACGUG